AUACUUACCUGUGUAGGAGACACCAUGAUUCUGUAGAUGGUUUUCCCAGGGUGAGGCUUGUCCAUUGCAUUCUGGUUGUGCAGACCCCUGCAAUUUCCCCAUAUGUGGGAAACUUGACUGUAAAAUUGUGGUAGUGGGGGACUGCAUUAGUGCUCUCCCCUG
rnacentral:snRNA from 1 species